AUUGAACGCUGGCGGCAGGCCUAACACAUGCAAGUCGAGCGGAUGAAGGGAGCUUGCUCCUGGAUUCAGCGGCGGACGGGUGAGUAAUGCCUAGGAAUCUGCCUGGUAGUGGGGGAUAACGUCCGGAAACGGGCGCUAAUACCGCAUACGUCCUGAGGGAGAAAGUGGGGGAUCUUCGGACCUCACGCUAUCAGAUGAGCCUAGGUCGGAUUAGCUAGUUGGUGGGGUAAAGGCCUACCAAGGCGACGAUCCGUAACUGGUCUGAGAGGAUGAUCAGUCACACUGGAACUGAGACACGGUCCAGACUCCUACGGGAGGCAGCAGUGGGGAAUCUUGGACGAUGGGCGAAAGCCUGAUCCAGCCAUGCCGCGUGUGUGAAGAAGGUCUUCGGAUUGUAAAGCACUUUAAGUUGGGAGGAAGGGCAGUAAGUUAAUACCUUGCUGUUUUGACGUUACCAACAGAAUAAGCACCGGCUAACUUCGUG
rnacentral:rRNA from 1 species